GACGAACGCUGGCGGCGUGCUUAACACAUGCAAGUUGAACGGGCAUACAUGGAAGCUUGCUGAAGUGUAUGUUAGUAGCGGACGGGUGAGUAAUGCAUGAGAAUCUGCCCUUUGGAGGGGGACAACAGCUGGAAACGGCUGCUAAUACCCCGUAAGCCGGGAGGUGAAAGGUACGCGAGUACUGCCGGGGGAUGAGCUCAUGUCCUAUCAGCUUGUUGGUGGGGUAACGGCCCACCAAGGCGACGACGGGUAGCCGGCCUGAGAGGGUGACCGGCCACACUGGAACUGAGACACGGUCCAGACUCCUACGGGAGGCAGC
rnacentral:rRNA from 1 species